AGUUGCAAUUGGGAGCACUUAUCGCGCAGAAUCUGGAUGGGAGUGAGACUUCUACUUUGGUUGUGGUCGUGAAUUGCAAAUUCUGUUAAAACAUCUGGGACUCUAAGGGAGAGACUGUUUCAAACUGCCUACAGUUCCAAGAAGCAAUCCAUAAUGAGUGGUUCGAAUGGAUCGCCAAUAUGGGACAGAUUGGUGUUCAACAAAAUAAAGGAAAAGCUUGGAGGACGAGUUCGUUUUAUGGGAUU